UCAAAAACAUGGUUUCCUGUUUAUAUAGGAGAUUUGACCUGCCCACUGAUUUAUUUUUAAGGGCCGCAGUAUUUUGACUGUGCAAAGGUAGCAUAAUCAUUAGUCUUUUAAUUGAGGGCUGGAAUGAAUGGUUGGACGAAAUAAAUUCUGUUUCAUUAAAAUUUUAUUGAAUUUAGAUUUUAAGUAAAAAUUCUUAAAUGUUAUUAAGGGACGAGAAGACCCUAUAGAGUUUAAUAUAUUGAUUUUAAAUUAAGUUUUUAUUUAAUUUAUGAUUUUUUUUUUGAUGUAUUUAAUUGGGGUGAUUAGAAGAUAUUUUUAACUCUUUUUAAUUUUUAAUAAUUAUUUUUAGUUAUUUGAUCCAUAAAUUUUUGAUUUUAAGAUUAAAUUACCUUAGGGAUAACAGCAUAAUUUUUUUUGAGAGUUCUUAUUGAAAAAAAAGAUUGUGACCUCGAUGUUGGAUUAAGAUAAAUAAUGGGUGUAGAUGUUCAUUAAUUAGGUCUGUUCGACCUUUAAAAUCUUACAUGAUCUGAGUUC
rnacentral:rRNA from 1 species